ACCUUCCGUUUACUCAGGGAUAGCCUUUCGAAAGAAAGAUUAAUACCUGAUAGUAUGGUGAGAUUGCAUGAUAGCACCAUUAAAGAUUUAUUGGUAAACGAUGGGGAUGCGUUCCAUUAGGUAGUAGGCGGGGUAACGGCCCACCUAGCCGACGAUGGAUAGGGGUUCUGAGAGGAAGGUCCCCCACAUUGGAACUGAGACACGGUCCAAACUCCUACGGGAGGCAGCAGUGAGGAAUAUUGGUCAAUGGGCGAGAGCCUGAACCAGCCAAGUAGCGUGAAGGAUGAAGGUCCUACGGAUUGUAAACUUCUUUUAUACGGGAAUAAAGUAUCCUACGUGUAGGAUUUUGUAUGUACCGUAUGAAUAAGCAUCGGCUAACUCCGUGCCAGCAGCCGCGGUAAUACGGAGGAUGCGAGCGUUAUCCGGAUUUAUUGGGUUUAAAGGGAGCGCAGACGGGAGAUUAAGUCAGUUGUGAAAAUUUGCGGCUCAACCGUAAAAUUGCAGUUGAUACUGGUUUCCUUGAGUGCAGUUGAGGCAGGCGGAAUUCGUGGUGUAGCGGUGAAAUGCUUAGAUAUCACGAAGAACCCCGAUUGCGAAGGCAGCUUGCUAAACUGUAACUGACGUUCAUGCUCGAAAGUGUGGGUAUCAAACAGGAUUAGAUACCCUGGUAGUCCACACGGUAA
rnacentral:rRNA from 1 species